rnacentral:rRNA from 1 species
UUGGAGGGCAAGUCUGGUGCCAGCAGCCGCGGUAAUUCCAGCUCCAAUAGCGUAUAUUAAAGUUGUUGCAGUUAAAAAGCUCGUAGUUGAAUUUCGGGGUUAGUAGGUUGGUCAUGCCUCUGGUAUGUACUGGUCUCACUGAUUCCUCCUUCCUUAUGAACCGUAAUGCCAUUAAUUUGGUGUUGCGGGGAAUUUGGACUGUUACUUUGAAAAAAUUAGAGUGUUUAAAGCAAGCUAACGCUUGAAUACAUUAGCAUGGAAUAAUGAAAUAGGUACG